rnacentral:rRNA from 1 species
GCAGUAGCCACGGGAAUACAGAGGGUGCAAGCGUUAAUCGGAAUUACUGGGCGUAAAGCGCGCGUAGGUGGUUUGUUAAGUUGGAUGUGAAAUCCCCGGGCUCAACCUGGGAACUGCAUUUGUGACUGGCAGGCUAGAGUAUGGCAGAGGGGGGUGGAAUUCCGCGUGUAGCAGUGAAAUGCGUAGAUAUGCGGAGGAACACCGAUGGCGAAGGCAGCCCCCUGGGCCAAUACUGACGCUCAUGCACGAAAGCGUGGGGAGCAAACAGGAUUAGAUACCCCCGUAGUCCCUGUCUCUUAUAC